CCUGACUGGUGCUUAUUGAAUAAAGAACAAAAGAUCAGCCUCAGAAAGAAAAUAAAAAUGUGGUAAUUGGGUAAGCAUUAAUAAAGAGAAAGAAACAAAUAGGGAUAUUAUGAAAGCCCUGACUGAACCUAUUAAAGACCCCAAAGUAUUGAAUGGAAAUCAUUUUAUUGGAAUUAUGUAAAAUCUGUGCUUACUCUU